rnacentral:rRNA from 1 species
GACGAUUUAGAGAUUGUUUAUGUUUGCGGGUUUGGUUAUUUAAGGUACCUUUUGCAUCAUGAUUUAUUGAAGGUGUUUUCAGAUUUGUAUUAACCCGAAAAAUGCCGAUUUUUAUUUCCACUGUUUGGUACUUAGUCUCGGACGGGUAGUUUAGGUAAGAUGGGAGUAUGGUUGUGAAAAAUAAUUCGGGGCAUUUUAUAUCUGGUUCUGGGGUUUAGGUUUUGUUUUAAUUGCCGAGCAAGGAUGUUUGGUAGUGGUUAAUAGCAUUUAAUUAAGAGGUAUUUUGUGUGGGUUAAAGUUACCCCUGCAUAACGUAUGUGUUAAGACUCGAGUAGUGAAGGGUUUUGUGCUUUAUGAUUUUACCCCAGUUUGUUACAUAAUUUUAUUUAAAGUAUGAUAAAAUAAGUAGGUUUUGAUUAGUUUCAUUUUUUCUCGAUUUUUUCCGGUCUGUUUAUUAAAAACAUUUCCAUCCUAAGAUUUGGAUGGUAGUGCCUGCCCAAUGCUUUUAAGUUAAUGGCCGCAGUAUUUUGACUGUGCUAAGGUAGCAUAAUUAGUUGCCUCAUAAUUGGGGGAUUGUUUGAAAGGUUUGACCAGGGAACUAAAUUAAAUGGAAACUUAGUCUGAAAUUAAAUUGCUGGUGCAGAUUCCAGCAUGUGUUUAUUAGACGGAAAGACCCCGAGAUCUUUACAUUGUGGUGUUUACUUGGGGCAAGGCUAUAUUGUUUAUGUAGUUUUUGAUCCUAAGGGAUAAAAGGUUUAAGUUACCUCGGGGAUAACUAGGUAAAAAAUGAGGAGAGACCUUAUCGAUUCAUUUAAUUGCCAUCUCGAUGUUGACUUGGGAAAUGUGAUGAGGUGCAGAAGUUUCAUUACGUGGUCUGUUCGACCUUUAAUUCCUUCAUGAGUUGAGUUAAGACCGGCGUGAGCCAGGUCGGUUCUUAUCUAUAAUUGAUGCGAAUUAGUACGAAAGGAUUGUUUGCAUUUUAUGUU